CCUUCACGAAUCAAUCGGAUUCUUUCGGCUUCCACCGCCCAUCGUAGCCGCCGGGAGAUUGAGGAUUUGCAACGCGUGAGCGGGUUCGCCGCUAUGCGCUGGACGCCGCCUGAGGUACUGCGCUGCAUCCCCUUGGAGGGCCGCGACCUCGCGAUGAUGCGCCCCGCUGCCAGCCAGGAGGGCAAGGCCCCGCCGUCGCGCUCGAUGGGGUCGUUGUGCCACGCGCUGGAUGCUGCGGGGUGGCCAUGGCUGCCAGUGUAGGUCGCUGCCGCGAACCGCGACGCGGCGAUCCGCAUCAGGAGGAUCCGCCCUGCGAUGCUUCUGGACCGCCGGGAGGACCACCAUCAAGGCCGAAUGCCGCCGCGUCCUUGGCGCCGGAUAGCGUCGCCGCCGGAGCCGUGCACCACGGUCUCGUCGUUGGGAUGAGCAUGGCGUCGCCGUUCCUCUUCUCUGGUUCUUCUUUCAUUCCUUUUCGCUUGUUGCGUGGGCUAAUGCUCUUGGUAGAGGCGUGCGUGAUAACGUGUUUAGGCCUUAUACAAUGAUGGAUGCUUCUGCACAGGUGCUUGAGGAAAAAGAUCAACAUCGGACGUGGUCUUGCAAUGGAGAGGUGCUAAGAACAGAUGCUUUAGUUGCUUAGACGGAGGCGUUGGACUCUUUUUUCUCUUCUUCUUCCUGUUGAUGGAGGCUUUGAAGGGAGCAGUUAUUUUUAAGCAUCGGCUGGCAUCGGAAGCAAACAUUUGCUCCUGGCUCCCUUCCUAAGCACCGGUGCAAUUCAAGAUGAGGAAAAAACCGGGUUUUUUUCUCUAGCACCUGGCUAAGCGCAACCCCCCCCCCCCCCCACCCCCUGUACAGGGCCUUAGAAGAGAACUUUCCUCUUUUAGCAAAUUAGGGGAGAGAUGUUAGAGGGAAACUGAGCCCCGCCCGGGCCCCACCCGUUGAAUCAGGGGCCGGUGGUGAGAUUAAGUAGAGGAGGGAGAGAGAGUAAGGAAGGAUCCCGUGGUUUACGCUUUUUCUCAGAUCUAAAACGCAGACUUGGGUGGGUCCUUCUUUCUCUGGCUACGGACAACACGUGAAAACAAAUCGCUCGUUCCAACGCUCGCGCGCGAAGGAGCGUUUCCGAUUUCUCAUUGAUUGAAGACCGGGUAUUUAUACCCACUUUACAAGGCAGUUAGGAUUACAAUGUUGGUAACUACAACAGACUUAAGCAUUGAUUAUUAGGAUUAAAUUAAUCUUUAACAGUAUCCUCGGCCGAAAUAAUCAAAGGGCAAACAAGUUUCUUUUUUAGAGCGAAGGCUCAAGGGGAGACCGGCUUUGAAUUAACGAAGCUAUCAACCGGACAGGAUUACACAAGGCCAUCAAGCAGAGCGACCGAAAGAUACAAUGAAGCUGUGUGAACAGCAAACAAUGCAACCGACACUACAGCAGAAAGAAAAAUACAUGAAGAGCCCUGUUAGUAAUGUCGAAGCCUACUGCACAUAAUCAGCAGAGAGAGGAGCAACAGAAAAGCCUCAGUGAUCAGCCGAUAGCCUGAGAAAAUUGUGAACCGUCUGAACCCACGGACAAGGGAAGAGCAUUGCUCCCCACGCCGAAGAGGAACCCUUUCCUCUCGCCUACGCUUGAAGGCGCCGCACCGGAUCGUUGGCGCUCAUCCGAGAACUAGAGCAGACGCCAGCCGGAUCCCAUCGCAGACAAGUUGCGCUAUCCUCUCCUGCCGCCGCCGCCGCCGCCUCAGCCUCGUCCGCCUCCUCUCCUGCAGCCGCCGCCACCUCGGCCUCGGCCGCCUCGUGCUCUGCCGGCGCCCGUCCGCCUCGAUCCGCCCGCUCCUUCGUCGGGUGGCGACGGACGGACGGUGAGGAGGGGGCGACCGGGUCGGCGAGAAGCUGCGAUUUAGCGUUGUCACCGCCUCUCAGCACGCAGCCUCUCCUUUCCUAUCUCCUCUGCGGCUCGCCCUCUUCCUCCGGCCGCAUCCAACCCCAUAGUCAUCUCCUACUUCCCUCUCUUAUUCCCCUCUGCGUACACGAGAUGGGCCAAGCCGGCACACAAGGCAAAGGGCGGCGGUGGCUCCGACGCGGGCGCCGUGGAGGUGGAGGCGGAGCUGUGGCGGCUGGUGGUGGACGGCCGCGUCAGCGACGUCAGCCUCGACGAGUUCCAUCACCUUCACUGCUACUUCAGGAGGCUGGUCUGGAUUAGGUCCGUUUCUUGGAGUAUGACAAGCUGAUGGUGAUCCUCACGCUGACAAAAUAAUAAAACAUUCAGUGCUGGAGCUUCCAAAGGGAUCUUCAUCCAGUGAUGAAGAUGGAUCCUGCAUAGAAAAUGAUUCCUCAAAGCAUCUGAAGCUGAGCUACAGAAUUUUGACUUGUGACAUCGAGGAAGGAGAUUAUUAUGUGUAUGACAAAGAUGAAGGCUGCUAUGGGAAUGGCGAUGAAGGGUCUGAUUAUGAAUUUGAUGAAAGUGACUUUAAUCAGCAAAUUGACUUGAAUCAGCAGCUGGAUUAUAAAUUCGACAAUUUGGAUUACAGAUACUCUGACAGCAAGGUUAUUCCACAUGUAUGGUCUAAUCAAAUAUUUGUGGUAAGGAUGAACAUCAGUAUGAGGAGAAAACAUCUGAACUAAAAUUACAAGCUUCAAAGGCUUUUUAAGAGAAAUGAAUAUAUCACAGCAGGAUGUAUGUAUUCAGAUCAGGAGGAGCUCGCCCUUGAGACAGGAGGAGGGGAGCAGCAGCCGCGCCCCGUGCUCCGCUGGUGCCCGUCGGCCUCGAUCCGUCCUUGGCAGGAGGAGCUCGAGCCGAGGAGUGCAACCUUGAUCCGGACUCGGUAGGAGGAGGGAAGCAGUAGCCGGAGCGCCUCGUAGCUGUUAGAUGUGUAGUCUCUUUUUGGUAUAUCCCCAUUGUAUAAGGGGUUUCCUGCACUUUGACACAUGUAUAUGUAAUGGCCUUUGGCCCUCAGUAAAGUUCAGUUGUUGAUUAUACAA